rnacentral:rRNA from 1 species
UACAGAGGGUGCAAGCGUUGUUCGGAAUUACUGGGCGUAAAGGGCGCGUAGGCGGUUUGGUAAGUCAGAUGUGAAAGCCCGGGGCUCAACCCCGGAAGUGCAUUUGAAACUACCAGACUAGAGUGCAGUAGAGAAUGGCGGAAUUCCCAGUGGAGAGGUGAAAUUCGUAGAUAUUGGGAGGAACACCGGUGGCGAAGGCGGCCAUUUGGGCUGUAACUGACGCUGAGGCGCGAAAGCGUGGGUAGCAAACAGG